GGCAUGGAAGGAUUCUGAUCCAGCCAUGCCGCGUGCAGGAAGACUGCCCUAUGGGUUGUAAACUGCUUUUAUACAGGGAGAAAAAGACCUACGUGUAGGUUAUUGACGGUACUGUAUGAAUAAGGAUCGGCUAACUCCGUGCCAGCAGCCGCGGUAAUACGA
rnacentral:rRNA from 1 species